CGAGAAGAGAAGCCCAUUGAGAUUAUUGUGAUCUGAAAUCCGUCUCCAGAAGCUCUACUAAACCCUGGGCCACAUCCUCCUGCUACAAGAGUGGAGCACAGUCUGCAUAAAUCAAACUAAAGGGAUCAUUCACUGCCAUCCUAAUCGCUGACGGCAGGUAAAGGUAUACUGGAGAACAGCUCUAGAUUUGUCAAAGCCCAAUAAAAUCAGUUGGACCAAUGUUACACUAACAGCUUGAUAAAAGGCCGGUUUUGCCAUGUAAACCCAAUAAAGGCAUUUUAACCUUUAAUUAUCUGGUGAUAUAUGAAGAUUUUUGUUCCAAAUGAAUACAAGUGGAUAAUGGACCACUGAUGGUAUGGACUUGAAUUGCACAUAAAGGCCCUGUUUGCACAUUUGGUGUCCACUCACACAGGUUGUUUGAUCCUAAAAUGGACAUUGUGAUUAUACUUUACCACUAACACCUGUGGCCUUUAAGCCUGGAUAAUUUACAUAUCAACACGGAUUGGACAUUGGACUACUAAGGGGUGGUAUGGUGUGUUUUAAAUUGUUAUCUUGUAUCUGUUUUUGUAACACUUGAGAAGGGGCACUGAAGACCCAAAACAUGUUGUGUUUGUCAGUCAACAAUAAACACUAAUUCA